CCGUACCGCAAACCGACACAGGUAGUCAAGAUGAGAAUUCUAAGGUGAGCGAGCGAACUCUCGUUAAGGAACUCGGCAAAAUGACCCCGUAACUUCGGGAGAAGGGGUGCUCUUUAGGGUUCACGCCCAGAAGAGCCGCAGUGAAUAGGCCCAAGCGACUGUUUAUCAAAAACACAGGUCUCUGCUAAACCGUAAGGUGAUGUAUAGGGGCUGACGCCUGCCCGGUGCUGGAAGUUUAAGAGGAGUGGUUAGCUUCUGCGAAGCCACGAAUCGAAGCCCCAGUAAACGGCGGCCGUAACUAUAACGGUCCUAAGGUAGCGAAAUUCCUUGUCGGGUAAGUUCCGACCUGCACGAAUGGAGUAACGAUAGCCCCACUGUCUCCUUCCGAGGCUCAGUGAAAUUGAAAUCGCUGUGACGAUGCAGUGUUCCCGCGGCAAGACGGAAAGACCCCGUGAACCUUCACUACAACUUUACAUUGGACUUUGAAAUUGCUUGUGUAGGAUAGGUGGGAGGCAUUGAAGUCAGGACGCUAGUCUUGAUGGAGCCAACCUUGAAAUACCACCCUGGUAAUUUCGGAGUUCUAACCUCGAUCGGUAUAUCCCGGUCAGGGACAAUGUAUGGUGGGUAGUUUGACUGGGGCGGUCUCCUCCCAAAGAGUAACGGAGGAGUGCGAAGGUAACCUCAGCGCGGUCGGAAAUCGCGCAGUGAGUGCAUAGGCAUAAGGUUGCUUGACUGCAAGACAAACAAGUCGAGCAGGUACGAAAGUAGGUCUUAGUGAUCCGGUGGUUCUGUAUGGAAGGGCCAUCGCUCAACGGAUAAAAGGUACUCCGGGGAUAACAGGCUGAUACUGCCCAAGAGUCCAUAUCGACGGCAGUGUUUGGCACCUCGAUGUCGGCUC
rnacentral:rRNA from 1 species